AUUGAACGCUGGCGGCAUGUCUUACACAUGCAAGUCGAACGGCAGCACGGGUGCUUGCACCUGGUGGCGAGUGGCGAACGGGUGAGUAAUACAUCGGAACAUGUCCUGUAGUGGGGGAUAGCCCGGCGAAAGCCGGAUUAAUACCGCAUACGAUCUACGGAUGACAGCGGGGGACCGUCGGGCCUCGCGCUAUAGGGUUGGCCGAUGGCUGAUUAGCUAGUUGGUGGGGUAAAGGCCUACCAAGGCGACGAUCAGUAGCUGGUCUGAGAGGACGACCAGCCACACUGGGACUGGGACACGGCCCAGACUCCUACGGGAGGCAGCAGUGGGGAAUUUUGGACAAUGGGCGAAAGCCUGAUCCAGCAAUGCCGCGUGUGUGAAGAAGGCCUUCGGGUUGUAAAGCACUUUUGUCCGGAAAGAAAUCCUUGGCCCUAAUACGGUCGGGGGAUGACGGUACCGGAAGAAUAAGCACCGGCUAACUACGUG
rnacentral:rRNA from 1 species